AAUAAAUACAGUUUUACACUAUUCAUCUCCAACGUUUGACUUAUCAUCUUAUUUCAAAAUUUUUUAUGAUUACUAUUUUUGUUGUUAUUAGAUGAUAUAAAAUAUAAAUAGUACUUUAUGUAUGAUUAAUUUUUUUAAAAUUUUUCAUGAAUUUUUUAAAUAAGACGUACGGUCAAACAUUGGACACGGAUUUUCACGGCUGCACUUAUU
rfam:Oryza sativa Japonica Group DNA, chromosome 1, cultivar: Nipponbare, complete sequence.